rnacentral:misc_RNA from 1 species
CGUGCCUUAACAAUUCAGCUCUGCCUUCUGCGCAUUGACAUAGCAAAUCCAGCACAGUUAGUGCCAUUUCACAAGCUCUUUUCUCCGUUGAAUCAAGAAGAAGAUCGAUCAGAACAGACACUGCGUUGGCUUCAACUGCUCUGAUUCUGUUUCUCCCCCACGGACAAAGACUUAUUAGGAGUUUCAAUGCAGCUUUGGAGGCUUGGUGAGAGAUUUGGUCGAUUAAAACUUG